rnacentral:rRNA from 1 species
UAGGGAUUCCUCAGUAACUGCGAGUGAAGCGGGAAAAGCCCACAAUUGUAAUCUGGCAGACCGAUUUGGCUGUCCGAAUUGUAAAUUGAAGUGGCCGCAUCAGCGUCGACCCAGGUCUAAUCUAAAGAACCUUCAGUGGGGAAUCAGAGAGGGUGUCAAUCCCGUCCAUGAUCUUGGAUUGUCGAAUGCUACUGCGAUGCGGCUCACAGAGAGUCGAGUAGUUUGGGAAUGCUGCUCUAAUGGGGAGGUAAAUUCCUUCCAAGGCUAAAUAUCAGUGAGAGACCGAUAGCGCACAAGUACCGCAAGGGAAAGAUGAAAUAGCACUCUGAAAAGAGAGUCAAACAGACCGUGAAAUUGCUGUAAGGGAAACGAUUGAAGCCAGACGCGUACCCGAGAAAGACGAUCCUCGAUAUCGGAUGCGAAAUCCGAUUCGGCUUCUAAAGUUACUCGGGCACGGGCCAGCUGUCAUGAAGCCCAUCGGAUAAUGUGGAUCGCAAUGUGGCUCCAUCGCGGGGCUUUAUAGGCUUUCCAUAGAUACGGUGUGGAUCUAUGGUGAAUCCAGCACGGGGUGCAAAUCCCAGUGCUGAUGCUGGCAUAAUGACUUCAAUCGACCCGUCUUGAAACACGGACCAAGGAGUCCAACUUGCAUGCGAGUAUUAGAGUGAUUCAAACUCCAAUGCGAAACGAAAGUAAAAGGUCUGGGAUCCCUAUCUGACCGAUAGGGAGCACUAGAGCCCCGAGUUGAGGUCUAUUGACUCUCUUCAUGGAGGCAGAGCAUGCAGGUUGGGACCCGAAAGAUGGUGAACUAUGCCUGAACAGAGUGAAGUCAGAGGAAACUCUGAUGGAGGCUCGGAGCGGUUUUGACGUGCAAAUCGAUCGUAUGAUUUGGGCAUAGGGGCGAAAGACCUA